rnacentral:misc_RNA from 1 species
AUCAAUUGCAAGAUUAAACAAACGUCAAGUAAAAAUUCAAUUGGACAUUUGAGCAUGAUCAAAUGCAAGAUGAAGCAAACUUGUGUCAAAAGAAUUCUAUUUUUUUUCCCUUUUUCCCUUCAAAUUGCGGGGAAUUCAGCUUCUUUUUUCCCGCAUAUGGCCACUUGAAAAGGAAGUUCUUGAGCGGGAGGUAUUGAUACAAUGCCGAAUGGAAAGGCCAACUCAGCUAGCUGUUGGAUAUGUUGUAACCAUUGUGAAAGGCGGGCAAAUCUGUUAGGCCAAGUCGCGUGUCAUUAGCUAGAAUAAAAGCUGUACUUCUUGUAUUGUGACUCAUUCUGGAUUCUGAUAUCAAUUGAAUGAAAUUCUCUCCCUGUUUUCUUCUGUGGUUCUCUUCCCUUUCUGUCUAAUUCUAUCUUCUUUCUCUUGAUUUCUCCCUUUUUCAUUCUGAACUCUAUCACAAACCCCUAGAAAUCUAAACUUCCAUGACCAUUUGUAUUUAGACCAAAACUAAGAAAAUAGGAAUCUCCACUCAAUCAAAAGCUACACCAGAAAACUCAAAACCAACAAUAAACAAUCAACUCAAAAUUCCCAUUUGCAGGAAAGCAAAAUUCUCAUAUAACCAAGAAAGAAGUGCAAAUAUAAAAACAAGAGGAGAAAUCUUUUAGUACCUCUCUGCUGCUGCUACCGCCUG